GACGAACGCUGGCGGCGUGCUUAACACAUGCAAGUCGAACGGUAAGGCCCUUCGGGGUACACGAGUGGCGAACGGGUGAGUAACACGUGGGUGAUCUGCCCUGCACUUCGGGAUAAGCCUGGGAAACUGGGUCUAAUACCGGAUAGGACCACUGCCUGCAUGGGUGGUGGUGGAAAGCUUUUGCGGUGUGGAUGGGCCCGCGGCCUAUCAGCUUGUUGGUGGGGUGAUGGCCUACCAAGGCGACGGACGGGUAGCCGGCCGGAGAGGGUGACCGGCCACACUGGGACUGAGAUACGGCCCAGACUCCUACGGGAGGCAGCAGUGGGGAAUAUUGCACAAUGGGCGCAAGCCUGAUGCAGCGACGCCGCGUGAGGGAUGACGGCCUUCGGGUUGUAAACCUCUUUCAGCACCGACGAAGCGCAAGUGACGGUAGGUGCAGAAGAAGGACCGCCCAACUACGUGCCAGCCGCCGCGGUAA
rnacentral:rRNA from 1 species